ensembl:lncRNA
CCUGAAGAUUUUUUUUUUGCAAGACUUGAAUAAGAAAAGGAUUAAAGCCUUGUUGGAUUAAGAAUUUAUUUAUAGCUAACUGCAGAUGGGCAAACUAACUUUUACAAAAUGACCUUCGUUCAAGUUUACAAUAAGUGUAAUCAGUCAUUGUUUUUUCAUUUAUGCCAUAGUGAAGGACUGAUAGGUAUAAGGUAAGUCCUUAUUGUAAAUUCUAUUCAUUCUGCCUACUAUCUUAACUACAUGCAUGUUUAUCCGUGAGAAGGCAUGACAACGCCAACCUUAUCUGCGCUGUUUCUAUAGUAAUCAUGAUGCAGUACUACACUAUCCAUUAUCCUAAAGCAAGACUGAUCAACCAUGGAAAAACCAUGGAAAUGGAGCUGAACCAUUAUCACACACUUGUUUCAAAAGUGUCCAUAUAUGAAAUUCUGCCCUGUGACUGCAACACUAUAGUGUGUCUUGUGUUACUUUUUUACUUUGUACCGAAUUUGACUGCUUAACACAACGUGGUAAUACGUUUUGAAGAGUAAGGUCAAAGUCAUAUGUUCAGUAGUGCUGAUUCUACAGACGACGUUGUCUACUGUGCGGCUCUAAACACAAGGAUGCACAGGUAUGUGAACUCAGUGUAUCAUGUGGCCAGAUUCAGAUAAACGGAGAACAUUGUGGUAGUCCUUGAGUAUAUUUCAGCAGCAUGAUAUAAUUAUAGCUGUGUAUGUUGACAUUCUCACAGUAUGCCAAUAGGAGUGUGAUUGAGUUGACUCACAAUUGUACUCUCAUCUUCCAGGAUUGUUCUGUUGCCAGUGGGAAGCCAUGUACGGUCACAGAAACUCUCACGCAUAUUUUUCACAAUUUACUUAUUUCCAGAGGUGGUGAGGCUGCAUGAUUACCAGCUGAGAUAUUACUUCCAGAUGUGUUUUCUUCAACGAGGAUCAGAUAAGCAUCAGAUCACCAAGUCUGCUAUUUGUACCAGAAGCACUACUUUGCUUGAAAGAUACAUAGAGAGUUACACUAAAGCAAACAGACAUGGAGGACAAGCUUAGGUCUUGGACUUAAGGAAUCUAUUAGGUAUAUAGAUCUGAAGGUAACUAAUUAAGAGAUUAGUACAGGUUUUAUUUGGGAUGGACUUAAAAGGGAUGAAGGGGUAAAAGCAGAGGGAGUUGGCUCACUGCUUCAAUACCUUAAUGGCACAAUGCUUAGAUCAUUAGAGAGAAUUUGUACUCAGAACUUCUACAGCAAGAAUUAUAACUGAACUGAUGAGGAACAAGGCUUCUGUAGUCCUGGUCAAAACAAACUAUAUUGACAAAUACAGUGCAAAUCUUUUAAUCAUGUUUCUACAUUACUUCGAUGACCUGAUCAACAUGAAGUCAAAGGUGGUCAAGUGACAGUUGAAAAUGUUGAUUCUGGAACUGAGAGUGCACAGCAUGGAAGCUCAUGUCCGUCAACAGAGCCUUCUCUAUAGCUCUAUCAAUUGUCAACCUUCCUUGGAUGGAAGAUCCUAUGUCUACACCAGCAUCUGGGAGGUUUUUCUUGGCUGAUAAUGGCCCAGAAGUUGAACAUCAGUGGAUGACAGCCUCUGUUAACUGGCAUGCAUGGCCCAUAGGCUUUAAACUAGCUGAGUGAUAUUGGACAGUAAAGUGCAACCCGCUAGGCAGUGAUACUUCAGCUCCAUGCUCGCUGCUGUAAGUGAUGAGGUCAACAUAGAGAAGAUGGUAACCAGAGGAUGAGCAGAAGUUUCGUGAGGAGGACGUGGUUUAGAUAUGUGUGGGGACCAAAAACUCCAAUGAUCAUAAUAAAAUGUUGUUAUUUUAAUACUGUGGGAACAUUUGGCUGAUGUCGGUUAAAACCACAAUGAUCAUAGUAACACGCUGUUAUUUUGAUACUGUGGGGAUAUUUGGCUGAUGUCAGUUAAAGCCAGGUGAACACUGUGAGAUCUUUAAUAGUCCUUUGCGACUGUUGCUUGUCAGACUGUACGAUCUUGAUCCUCGCUGUAAGCCAUGUCACACUGUAGGAUCUCAGCUGUCAUUAAUGUCAGACUGUGUGACCAGUCAAGACGUGAAAAACGGACACACGCAAGAAAACUAAUACGGAGUAGGACAAGCCACACUACAGGACUGUGCCUCAAAUCUUCUGACACUGCCAGAAUUUAAUCGGAGGAAAAAUUUGAUGGGGUACGUGUCAAACUAGCGAUCAAAGACUACAGAUUUUGGCCUAGGAUUAUAGGAAUCUUUUAGGAUUCUCAAAAUUUGUCUCAGACGACCAAGUCAUGACUAAAAUCGUACAGUGUGAACCGGGCUUAAAAUAAUGGCUUAAAAAGUGGUGAAAGAUUUGAGUAUUGAGACGACUUUUAAUUUUUACUUGCCAACUAGUAAUCAAAACUGUUAAAUCAAAACUGAUUCGGAAAAUCAAUAUUUUCGAGUAUUUAUAAGGCAGGUAAGUGCUGAUAACCUGCCAAAGCACACUUUAUUAACAGCCACAUACAAGCUACAAAUUACAGCAUACAGUAUUUUCAGCUUUGAUGCUUUUUAGGCUACACUGUUAACUCCAAAAACAAAUAAAUCAGUGCUCUAAAUGUACAAAAUAAUACAACCCUGUACCAUACUAUACUAUUUAAGGAUGCACUAAUUCUUAAAAUGCACUUAUGUACCCAAUCUGGUGGUCAAGUGACAGUUGAAAAUGUUGAUUCUGGAACUGAGAGUGCACAGCAUGGAAGCUCAUGUCCGUCAACAGAGCCUUCUCUAUAGCUCUAUCAAUUGUCAACCUUCCUUGGAUGGAAGAUCCUAUGUCUACACCAGCAUCUGGGAGGUUUUUCUUGGCUGAAAAUGGCCCAGAAGUUGAACAUCACCGGAUGACAGCCUCUGUUAACUGGCAUGCAUGGCCCAUAGGCUUUAAACUAGCUGAGUGAUACUGGACAAUAAAGUGCAACCCGCUACAUGAAGUGCCCUCUUUCAAAUUUACAACAAAAAUAACACCAGGUGGCAUUAAUUCAAGGGGAAAAUCCAAUUCAUGUCUUGCACAGUGUGCUGUUGACUAGAAUUUAUUUAAUCUAUAUUAAUUUUUUUAAAACUAACAAAGCACAUUUUGCCUGCUGUCUUUACCUCAUUGGGUUUUUUUUCCACCACCCCGACUACUGAAUAUACUACUUACUGACUAGAUGGGGGACAUUUUUGUUUUCUUCCUCGUCUCGACCUAUACCUCUCAUUUGAAGGAAAAAAAAAGCUCAGUUUCAGGUCUGCUGUGAGCUGAGAAACAGACAAAUGUGGACAAACUGGGGUGUCACUAAUAAUCCGAAACUCUGAUCUUCUAGUUAUUGUCAGAAAUUCUAAUGGUUUUUAUCACUCAGAAUAGUCAAGAACUGAUGACUUUUACAGAAAGAAAUCAUUUGACUAAUAUUGCCAACCAAACCAAAGUGGUGUGUAGUAGGAGGCAAUUGUGAAAACAUUAUAAAACACUUUUUUUUUUUCUCCAAAUGAAGUGAUUAUAUCUUGCUUAGUAAAGGUUAUAGGGUGUUUCUUUCCCACAUUAGACUGAUAAAAAUCUUUGCAUGCAAAUGUGAACCAUGCUCCACCAGCGUUCACACAUUUAAGCAUUUAUUUUGUUUUGGACCAGGUUGUAUACACAACCCUGCAAUUGUUGUUGGAGUGUCUGUCUUUUAGCUAUUUUUUGGAAUAAUGCUCAGUUAUUAUUUUAACAAUAUACUGAAAUUAUUAUUUCCAUUCCUUAUGAUGUUUAGAAGUGAAUUAAAAUUAUUUCCACUCGGAUGGUAUUCGUUAGUAUAGUAAGCCAGAUUUUGUUCUAUUGUGACUGGUGUGCAGUGUAUUGAUCUGACACAGCUUUUUAUUCAAAUGCAUUCGAUGCAUUACAGGGAACUUGACAUAAACCAUUAGGCGUAGUUAAAGAUUUAUUUAGUAUGUGUAGUAAUACAUAAGCCAGUAGAAACUCCCCACGAAGAUAGUAAUACAGCUGUGUGUGUGUGUGUGUGUGUGUGUGUGUGUGUGUGUGUGUGUGUGUGUGUGUGUGUGUGUGUGUGUGUGUGUGUGUGUGUGUGUGUGUGUGUGUGUGUGUGUGUGUGUGUGUGUGUGUGAAUCCAUAAAGGAGAGUGUUGUGGAGUGUGUAAUUUGUAUUAAAACAUAUGCAGUCUCAAAGGAUAUCCCAUUUGUUGUUCUAUUCCCCAAACAGAUGCCAUAAUUGAAUAUUUUGUCUAAGUGCUUUUGACUUUGGCUCUUCAGCAAGUUUGUAGUAACUCCCGAGAACUGUGUGUUCUUUGUCUAUUAGUAUAAUGUUUUGAAUCUCAUUUAGUACUUUGUAGUGAGGGCAUAAAUUAAUGCAGAGGGUGUGAAGGUCAUGGCCUUUCUUCAUUAACCCUUUAGCCCCAUACUGACAGCCCCAGAGUUCAAUUCUGCUCUCUCGUACAGACUUCCAGACUUCUCCUAUUAGAUUCACUGUUCCUAAAUAAUUCAUAGUAGUUACUGAAUAAUGUAAAAUAAAAAUUAAUAAAGGGGUUGCACAGCUCCGGGGUUGGGGGUUUGAAUCCCGCCUCCACCCUGUGUGCACGGAGUUUGCAUGCUCUCCCCAUGGUACUCUGGGUACUCUGGUUUCCUCCCCUAGUCCAAGGAUAUGCAUUGCUGAUUGUGCGAUUGUGCCCUCUGAUGGGUUGGCACUCCAUCCCGGGUGUCCCCUGACUUGUGCCCUGAGUCCCCUGGGAUAGACUCUAGGAUCACUGUUACUGUGUGUAGGAUAAACGGUACAGAAAAUAGAUAGAUGGAUGGAAAAAAUAAAUAAAUAAAUAAAAUUGGGCAUGCUUUAAUUUAAAGUGCAUUAAAUCUACAGUCUUAAAAAUAAACAUGGCUCCCAAGUAGUGCAACAGAAAAGCAUUAGUGUAAUUGUCUGGAGCUUGCGAUCUCGAAUCCAGCUAUCUGUGACUGGGAGCUGAGCACAAGAGAGCAGACAUGUUCACAAGUCCCUGAGGUCCAAGCCCAAGUCAGGUCUCAAAUCUUUGUUCUGUUUUUAGAAAUAGUUCUUUCAGCUAGUAAUUAACAGUGUAUGAGGCUAAAUCAAUUUUGAAAUAUUAAAACUGAUUACGUCUACAGAAUGUCUUGUUCAUUUAUUCAAAAUUGUCUAAUAAGCACACAAGGUUUUACUUAGAUCAUUCAUUCAAAAUUAUACCAUUAAUCAAAAAACUAUUACUUUCAAAUGAUUACAUUUGAUUUAAAAGUUAUCCCUAUAAUUACAAGAAAACAGAACAUUCAUAGAAAAUUCAGGAAAGAUAUUACUGCCAACGUGCUGUGUGUUUUGAGCUAUUUGAGUUGCCGUAGUUUGCUGUAGUUCUCAAGCAAUGGUGGGUAAGGUAGUCUUCCAGUGAGUGCCGGCGGUAACAAAACCCAAGUUUGUAGAUGUAAUAAAACUUGGUAAACUUGGAUAUUAUAUGCAUACGAUAGCUAAUACUUGUGUGUGUGGGGUGG